CCGCCCCUUUCCUUUUCGUUCUCUCUCUCUCUUACUCAAAGAUUAAGAUUUUAGAUCUGGAUCUAUUCACCGUAAGCUAUUAUUCCCGAGGAUCUGGACACCUUCCCUAAGAUGGUUGAAGAUGGAUCCCUAGCCGGCGCAUCUGGUGAAGACGGUGGUGAUUUCAACCAUAUGUGAUCUUAUGCUUCAAUUUCUCUUAUUCUCUUAUGCUUCAAUUUCUCUUUUGUUGGUUUAUCAUUGAUCAUCCCAUUUCUUUCUCCAGAAUGCAGAAGAGAGAGAGAGAGAGAGAGAGAGAAAGAGAUAUGGAGUUAGAGAGAGAAAAGAGGAGCUACAAGAGGAGAGAGAGAGAACGGUGAUGGCAGCUGUUAGGUUCCGGCUGUGAAACCGACUUUUCAUUUUUCUGGUCUGGUGAAUCAGGAGAGCAAAUUCUUGAGGUAUUUAGGAUUUAUGUGGAACACAUUAUCAUGGGUUAUGGAAGCUGCUGCUAUUAAGGCGAUUGACAUUGCAAAUUGAGGAGGAAAGCCGCCUGAUUGGCAGUCUUUUGUGGGUAGUAUCACUCUGCUCAUAAUCAAUAACAAAGUUAGUUUCAUUGAAGCAAAGAACGCUGGUAAUGUAGCAGCUCGCAAGGCCAGUCUUGCCCCAGACAUAGAACACCAGUUCAAGGCGUCAUUGAUUAAUCUGCAGAAUGCGGAUUAAGGUCACUUGCUGUAGCAUACCAGAUAUUUGCAUAGAUGGGAUUUAGAUGCUGCUUUGGAAGUUCGCAGCUUGUGCCCGUCACUUGUUGGGCUGAAAUUGUUUCUGUCAUUUUUCAAGCUAUGGUUGAUGCUCGGUCAGCUUGAGGAACGGUUAGGUAAUUUACCACAAGUGAAAGAAGCCUACGAGUUGGGUUUAAAUCAGUGCCCAAAUUCAACUCCUUUAUGGCUCUCACUUGCUAAUGUCGAGGAGAGAAUGAGCGGUCUGAGUAAAGUUCGGGCCGUGCUCACAGUGGCUAGAAAAAGGAACCCGCAUUUCCCUGAAUUAUGGCUGGCUGCGAUUAGAGCCGAGUCACGACACGGUUCUUAAAAAAGAAGCUGAUAUUUUAAUGGCGAAGGCGUUACAAGAAUGCCCCAACAGUGGUAUUUUAUGGGCUGCUGCAAUCGAAAUGGCUCCACGACUGCAAAGGAAAACCAAGAGCUCUGACGCUUACAAGAAAUGCGAACACGAUCCACAUCUAAUAGCUGCUAGCUGGUUAUGUCUGUCUUUUGGCUUAAACAUGUAUUUCUUUUCUAAUUGGGAGUAUUGCUACUAUAUUGUUAUGCUUUUGAGUAUUUUUUUAUUCAUUUUUUGCUACUCCUUUUUUCUGUUGUUAGGGUUCUUAUGUGAUACUUUUUUUUUUCUUUCUUAUUGAAAUGUUUUGGUAAUUUUGUUUUGCUAUCACUUGUCAGCAGACUUUGAUUCUUCUAAAUCUGGAUUGUCUUGCGAAAUUGGUAACUUUUAGAUUUUUUUGCAAAACAUUUAGUGUUUUCACUCUUUUUUUCUUUCUUGUUGGUAGAGUGGGAAAGCACGCAGGUUGGGUAAUGGGUCAAAAUGGGUAACUUUUUUGCAUAAAGUUAUUUUAGUGUGUCAAAUAUUGUUAUAGAUGUUAUUUUAGCUCAACAAUUCUGCACAACUUUCAGCAUCGUUUGACCCAUAUGACAUGUUCCCUUUUCUUUUGUUUUUAUACCCGUUAGAGAUAAGCGUGGCCGAAUUAGCCCAUAUAAUUGUACAUAGUUAAAUAAUAUGUAGCGGUAUAUUUGAAGUAUAUGAAAUAUUAUGUGUUGGAAUUUUAUAAAUGAAAAUCAUUAUUAUAACUUAAAUUAAUACAUAGUAAAAAACAUGAGAAAUGAUAUUGUCAUCUUAAGUAUCACAUCAUUUGUGUAAUAGGUGCUAUUGAUUUAAAUAUGUAACAGAUGAUGCAUGGUCAUUAUCCAGUGGGCGUUAAAAUGGAACGGCAUCCAGACGAGCCAAUUUGUGAAGCCACUGAAGUAAUUGGAGCUUGAGAAAGAGCUAUAAUCUGUAUUUUUCAUCAAAUUUUGUAUUAUGGAGAUGAAUGUUGAGUUGGAUUUGUAGUUUUGAUGGUUUUAUACAAUCAGAAAGUUGAGUUGUUCAUUUCA